UAAGAGACAGCAGCCGCCGCGGGAAUACAGAGGGUGCAAGCGUUAAUCGGAAUUACUGGGCGUAAAGCGUGCGUAGGCGGCUUCUUAAGUCGGAUGUGAAAUCCCUGAGCUUAACUUAGGAAUUGCAUUCGAUACUGGGAAGCUAGAGUAUGGGAGAGGAUGGUAGAAUUCCAGGUGUAGCGGUGAAAUGCGUAGAGAUCUGGAGGAAUACCGAUGGCGAAGGCAGCCAUCUGGCCUAAUACUGACGCUGAGGUACGAAAGCAUGGGGAGCAAACAGGAUUAGAUACCCCAGUAGCCCUGUCUCUUAUACC
rnacentral:rRNA from 1 species